GACGAACGCUGGCGGCGUGCUUAACACAUGCAAGUCGAACGUGAUUUUUGUGGAAAUUCUUUCGGGAAUGGAAAUGAAAUGAAAGUGGCGAACGGGUGAGUAACACGUGAGCAACCUACCUUACACAGGGGGAUAGCCGUUGGAAACGACGAUUAAUACCGCAUGAGACCACAGAAUCGCAUGAUAUAGGGGUCAAAGAUUUAUCGGUGUAAGAAGGGCUCGCGUCUGAUUAGCUAGUUGGAAGGGUAAAGGCCUACCAAGGCGACGAUCAGUAGCCGGUCUGAGAGGAUGAACGGUCACAUUGGAACUGAGACACGGUCCAAACUCCUACGGGAGGCAGCAGUGGGGAAUAUUGCACAAUGGGGGGAACCCUGAUGCAGCGACGCCGCGUGAGCGAAGAAGGUUUUCGAAUCGUAAAGCUCUGUCCUAUGAGAAGAUAAUGACGGUAUCAUAGGAGGAAGCCCCGGCUAAAUACGUGCCAGCAGCCGCGGUAAUACGUAUGGGGCGAGCGUUGUCCGGAAUUAUUGGGCGUAAAGGGUACGUAGGCGGUUUUUUAAGUCAGGUGUGAAAGCGUGAGGCUUAACCUCAUUAAGCACUUGAAACUGGAAGACUUGAGUGAAGGAGAGGAAAGUGGAAUUCCUAGUGUAGCGGUGAAAUGCGUAGAUAUUAGGAGGAAUACCGGUGGCGAAGGCGACUUUCUGGACUUUUACUGACGCUCAGGUACGAAAGCGUGGGGAGCAAACAGG
rnacentral:rRNA from 1 species